GCGGGAGCCCCACCUCCGUCAACGCCCCCUGCAACUUCUCACGAACGUCGGUCACCCCUCCAACCAGGACAUCUGCAGCCUUACCGCCACAUCUCCAGAUCAGUGCUCCCAGAAGCCUUUGCAGACCGCCGUGGUUCUAUUGAACUCAAACGGCAAAACAUCUCAGGGGUCAGGAGGAGACAUCUCCAUGACAACCCUCUGCCUGGACGCACCCCCAGCCUUCAAGCCCCCCAAAGCCCGAGGUGGGGUCUCAUUCGGAACGGAAUGGUUUUCACUGCUCCGCCCCUCCACCGUCAAUGGGACAUUGAAGUUUUCUCGCUCUCUGAACGAUGUUGGUCAGCGCAUGGAUAGUCUCUGUAGUGGACUGCACUUCAUAGACCGGACCUGUUCUGAAGGAGAGCUGGAGGUUAAACCCGAACCACCCAACACGGACCGGAAGUCCAAGGCACUCAACGGCAAAGCGGCCACACUCCCACACCAGGCCUCAAACCUACCUUCAUUCCCCACGCACACCCACACACACCCUCACCUCGUCCCCUCGUUCACCAACAACUACAAAUACCUCAACCCCCAACACUGCCUCCAACCUCCCUCUACCGGCGUCCCCCCUCCUCCUCCUCCUCCUAACUCCCACCUCCACCCUCCCAGCUCCAACCUCCUCCGCCUCUUCCUCCCUUUUUCUCGCUCCUCUACUUCGGCCAGUCUCCAGUGUUCUGAGCUGGGGAGCUACGAUUCCCGCCUCCACAUCGCCAAAUCCUCCAGCGCCCUGAUGGGGGGCAGCGAGCCUCCCCUGGGGGGAGCAGAGGACCUCUUGGGGGAUGACGAAGUGUUCGAGGUCCCCAAGGGAAGGACCAGGGCUUGGACAGGGGCUGGAAUCCCAGGAAGAGAUGCUGGCAGCGGGGUAGCGGCUCUCCUCGGGGAAGCCCCCCUCUGCUACAUGGAUGAAGACAGCGAUCUGGACCGGUUUUCAUUUCUGGACCAGUGUUCGUCACCCACCCAUUCAGAGAAAACAGGGCCGCUCACGCCAGGCCCGCUCUCUCCCUAUUCGCUGUCCGGAGACUGCUGCAGGAUCUGUCACUGUGAAGGAGAUGAUGAGAGCCCGUUGAUAACACCGUGCCACUGUACGGGCAGCCUGCGCUUCGUCCACCAGGCGUGCCUGCAGCAAUGGAUCAAGUCCUCAGAUACACGUUGCUGUGAACUCUGCAAGUACCAGUUCAUCAUGCAGACCAAGCUGAAACCCCUGCGCAAGUGGGAGAAGCUCCAGAUGACGUCUAGUGAGAGGAGGAAGAUAAUUUGUUCUGUGACGUUCCAUGUCAUCGCCAUCACCUGCGUGGUGUGGUCCCUCUACGUGCUCAUCGACCGCACUGCAGACGAGAUCAAAGCAGCCGGAAGAAUCCCAGGUAUCCUGGAGUGGCCAUUCUGGACCAAACUGGUGGUGGUGGCCAUUGGCUUCACUGGCGGCCUGGUCUUCAUGUACAUCCAGUGUAAAGUCUACAUCCAGCUGUGGCGGAGACUCAAGGCCUACAACCGGGUGAUCUAUGUCCAGAAUCGCCCGGAGACGUGUAAAAAGCAGAUGUUGGAGAAGCCUCCCCUCAUGGAGCCCAAUGUGGAGCACAAGGAGGCUCUGGCCCCCACCCAGUCAGACACAAACUCCUCCCAGUACACAGAGACAGAAGACUACAGUAUGGAAGUGCUCCAUGUCUGACCCACAUAUACACACAUACAGGGACACACCAUGUCUGACCCACAUAUACACACAUACAGGGACACACCAUGUCUGACCCACAUAUACACACAUACAGGGACACACCAUGUCUGACCCACAUAUACACACAUACAGGGACACAUCAUGUCUGACCAACAUACAAGGCAUUCAGAAAGUUUUCAGAUCCCUUGACUUUUUCCACAUUUUGUUACAUUACAGCCUUGUUCUAAAAUUGAUUAAAUUGAUUUCCCCCUCAUCAAUCUACACACAAUACCAGAUAAUGACAAAGCAAAAUCAGGUUUUUAGAAAUGUUUGCAAAUGUAUAUAAAAAAAACGGAAAUAUCACAUUUACAUAAGUAUUCAGACCCUUUACUCAGUACUCUGUUGAUGUACCCUUUGCAGCGAUUAUAGCCCUUGAGUCUUGUUGGGUAUGAUGCUACAAGCUUGACACACCUGUAUUUAGGGAGUUUCUCCCAUUCUUCUCUGUAGACCCUCUCAAGCUCUAUCUGGUUGGAUGGGGAGCGUCGCUGCACAGCUAUUUUCAGGUCUCUCCAGAGAUGUUUGAUCGGGUUCAAGUCCGGGCUCUGGCUGGGCCACUCAAUGAUAUUCAGAGACUUGUCCCGAAGCCACUCCUGCAUUGUCUUGGCUGUGUGCUUAGGGUCGUU